AGAGUCUUUUCUGAAAGCGUCUUUAUGUCGGAGCACAAGGACAGAAGGCGGCAGCGGGUCCUUCCAGCUAAUUGAUGAUACACAAUGGCAAAGCAGAACUGACGGUCCAGGAUUAAGGCACGCAACGACAUUUCACCCUGAGGACAGAAUCUGGAACAUUCUUGUACAUUUAUCACCAUUAUCAAGACAGUCAGCACAGAGGCCUUAAGCUUCGACGCUUCCCGCUCGCUGCUGGAGAGAGAUAGUCAGAUCAAUGAAGACACGAGCGACUGUCUGCCAAGCCGGACUCUGCUGCAUCUGUCAGCCGCAGAUUUUACCUCACACAUACGGACCCGGAGCAUCUAUUUGGUACUUUAAUGAGGCUGGCCUACUGUAAUGGGACAUAGAGAGGUUCAAGCUGAUCUCUCAAAUUAAUUUAGGCUUGAGCUCGGUUAGGAAAGAAAUCUAAUCAGAUUUCCAGGAGAGUAUGGUUUCUUAUGGAUUUCCAAUCAAGGGCACGAGGUAUUCUGGGAAAGAUGAAGAUGCAUAUCUCUCUGUACCGUUUUCAUUUUAGGGGGCAUUUAAAAGGAUGGCCGAUUAGUUAUUCUGUGCUUUUAAAAGUGCAUCUACAGUACUGUAUGGAUACUAUAAAAGAGCACAGAUCUUUAAAUAAAAUGGUAU